rnacentral:rRNA from 1 species
AUUUAACUCUGGCGGCAUGCUUUACACAUGCAAGUCGAACGGUAACAGGCCUUCGGGUGCUGACGAGUGGCGAACGGGUGAGUAAUGCAUCGGAACGUACCCAGAGGUGGGGGAUAACGCAGCGAAAGCUGUGCUAAUACCGCAUGUGAUCUGAGGAUGAAAGCGGGGGACCGAGCAGCAAUGUUUGGCCUCGCGCCUUUGGAGCGGCCGAUGUCGGAUUAGCUAGUUGGUGGGGUAAAGGCCUACCAAGGCGACGAUCCGUAGCUGGUCUGAGAGGACGACCAGCCACACUGGGACUGAGACACGGCCCAGACUCCUACGGGAGGCAGCAGUGGGGAAUUUUGGACAAUGGGCGCAAGCCUGAUCCAGCAAUGCCGCGUGCGGGAAGAAGGCCUUCGGGUUGUAAACCGCUUUUGGCAGGAACGAAACGGUGUCCGCUAAUACCGGGCGCUAAUGACGGUACCUGCAGAAUAAGCACCGGCUAACUACGUG